GUGCGCAGCGCGCCGCGGUAAUACCGGCAGCCCGAGUGAUGGCCGAUCUUAUUGGGCCUAAAGCGUCCGUAGCUGGCUGCGCAAGUCCGUCGAGAAAUCCACUCGCCCAACGAGUGGGCGUCCGACGGAAACUGCACAGCUUGGGACCGGAAGGCUCGAAGGGUACGUUCGGGGUAGGAGUGAAAUCCUAUAAUCCCGCACGGACCACCGAUGGCGAAAGCACUUCGAGAAAACGGAUCCGACAGUGAGGGACGAAAGCCAGGGUCUCCAACCGGAUUAGAAACCCCGGUAGUCC
rnacentral:rRNA from 1 species